AGCAUUGCGAGAAUCAAAGUACCGCGAUUGCAGACUGAAUCUCGUGAUACUUUAGACUGUAGCCUAUCUUUAGGCGCGCCAAAAUUCAAACAGUCAAAAGACCGCCAAAUACCGGUACGCUCAUUCAGUAUAGAUAGACCAACGGAUCAAGAAUGUUCGCCCUUGUUGAGUGGAAAGAUGAGACUGAAAAGGAAAGCUGGAGCAUUGUUCCAACGUCACAUAUAAAAAAUUUCACUUGUAAUGAUUUUUUAGACGGACUUGAUGAAAGUUCUGUUCAUAUAAUUGAGUGGAGAGGUGGACUGAAAAAAAAACCUAAAGGCGGAUGGCCUUUGUACGAGGCAACGGUGCACAAAGUUGCAGGUAAGUUAAUUUCUGACCUUUUAUUAUAAUUCACACAUUUUUAUUGCACAGAUAAUACAUAAUUUAAAUAAUGGCUGAACUGCAUGAUCUAUUUAUAAGCUACUGAUCAGAUCGAACUUCGAAGCUAGUACAUAUAAUUGAGCAGAUAUUCACCGUGUUUAACUGUAGGUUUUUUAUUAGUAAUAUAUUUUUUUUACUACGACAUGUAACGUUACUAUUAAUACUGCUUGUGUGCGUUGCAUUUUAAUGUUCAUUUUUAAGAGCUAACUACCAGUAGGCCCAGAAUAUUACAGUGCAUCAUUUGAAUAUCUUUGUUUGUUAUGUGAGAAAUAUAUUUAAAAAAAAAUACGAUUUCAGCUGUCAGACACAUUUAGUGAAAAAAAUAAAAUAAAAAGAGUCUAGAACGAACACAAUAAAAAUCAAGUUAAAAAUAUUUCAAAUGUAUGCCAGUAAACUUGCAGGAUAUUAAAUCCUUGUCAGAAUAUGUGCUAAUAUAUUGAACACUGUAUCCCAUUAUGACAUCAAUACUUAUUGUGGGUGCAUAUAUGUGGUCAGGCUAUGUUGUUAUAGCCUCAUUGUUGUUAGUUGUCUCUUUUGUUUUAGAUUCUACAAUUUGUAUUCCCUUUUUCCCCCACAGAGAGACAGUCCACCCUAGAAAAACUACAACACGAGAGGACACAACACCAGUCCAGUUCAAAACCUCUUACCAAACGAAAAUGCAAGACAAAUCCUAAGUUUGUUGAAGAGGAGACCAGUGAUCAUGGACCAUCUAGCCCUAAAAAGCGGCAAACUGAUGGAAAUUUGGACAGGGAGAUUUUGGAAAAAAUUAAAUUACACCAUGGACCUCGAUUAUCUUCUGCCACAAAUUCAGUUGCUUCACCUACCUCACCAUCUUCUGCCUUGCCGCAUUCUCCACCACCGGUUUCUAACUGUCCACCAGCAUCACCCUCAGCUCCACCUGCCUCAUCAUCACCUGGUUCACUUUCACUUACCUCACCUUCUCCUGAUCCUCGAUCCAUCGUUGCACAAUUAAAGGCAGAGAAUGAAGCCCUCAAAAUUGAAUUAGAAAACAUUAAAACAAAUGUUGUCAGUCAAAUGCCAAAACUUCUUAUGACGAUGGGCAAGCUGGAAAAAUGGCUUGACGAGAAAGAGCAGACCCCACAGGAACUGCUAUCACCUUCCAGCAUACAGGAAACUGUGAGUAUGCUGUUUUCCAAACCACUACUGUAGUAACAGCUAUAACAGCAAGGUACGACAGUAAAGACUUAUGAAGGGGGAGGAGAAUUGAUACGUGCGUCACGUUUAGGCAAGAAAAAACUUCUGCAUAGGAUACACCUGUGUAUCCUCUAGGGGUGGAACGGAACACAGAAGACACGGUUCGGUUCGUACCUCGGUUUAGACUUCAUGGUUCGGUACGAUUUCGGUACAAUGGAAGGAAAAGCAAAACAAAAAUGCAGAAGCUUGAAAUUCACCCGGGCUCAGGAGUUUAUGUUCCCAAAAACGUGUUGUGGUCAACUAGCCAUGCAAACACCCCCACUACUAUGGCACGGAUGCUCUUACUGGGAGUGUUUGAUAUCGAAACCCUUUUAAAGAGCAAUCUUAGAGGUGGCAAGUCCAAAAAUGUGAGCCCUGGGGAAACCAAAGAGCCAUUGGACAGGAUAAAGAUUGAUGCAAUAAUGAAUGCAGUGAUCCAGAAGUUUCCUGGAACCACCAGGGGCCAACUAGGAGUGGCUAUUAAUCAAAAGGUGACUGAACUGCGAAAGUCCCAAAAGACUUGCACUUAAAUGAACUGGCUGUAUUGUACCUGUUGGUGG